rnacentral:lncRNA from 1 species
UCUGGGUAGCAAUUGUUGUCUUAGGCUGUUGGAAAGGGGUGAGCUAUUGCUCCACAGUGUCUGUAUCCCCAUUAGAAGGUGCUGUUAUCACCUUGUUUUGCCAUACAUUUAGCAAAAUUUGCAGUGGAGCUCUGAUUAAUAUCAAAAACUUUUUGUUGUACUUUAGCUAGCUUCUGAAAUGAAAUUUUGACUCUCCUUCUGUUGGUAUAAAAAUGUCAGUUAGGAUUGUGAUUCUCUGAAGUAUUACAUCAAUAAGGAUUUAUAACAUAGACCUGGACUUUUAAAUCAACUGUCUAGCUUGUAUACAUAAAAUAGGCACUGCUGAAAGCUGGAGUAGAUUGAAGGGAACAGUUGUUUUCUGCUUUGAAGUUAGGAUGGAAUUAACUGUAUUUUCAGGAGAGGAAUCUGUUCUACAGCACUGUCCAACUGAAUUUGCACUUGUAGUUGAAAAACUUAAUGUAAGGCAGAAGGGAGGGAAGGCCUUCUGAAUUUUGAAAGUAUACUUCAGUGUUUAGGAAAAAAAAAUAACUGGAAAACAGUCCUGUGGCUUUUACCCCUAAGCUACAUCACUCUGUGAUCUACUGAUCCCUACUGAACAGUUUGGAAAGCAGCAUGUGAACUUGCUUAGAGACACCUUCACAGAGCCUGAUUUUUCAUGGAGAAUGUACAUAACACUCAAAAUCAGAGCCUUCCGUGUGACUCAAGCUGAGUUCUGAGAACUAACACUACAGAAACCUUUUUUAUUCUGACUCUUGCCCUUACUUAACUUCCUGGUUUGAAAUAUAAAACAUAGCUUGACUUAAUGCAGACGUGUAAGCACUAUUAAAUACAAUUCAGUCAUUUCUAAAACUGUUUCAACUACUGCAAAGUAUAGAAUAUCUACAAAUACAGCAGUCUGAAAUGUAAGACAUGCUGAAAAGCUUCUUGUGUACAUCUUCCCCAUAAUCUUACAAUUUAAGCACCAGAGCAGUGCAGUCUCAGUGGGUGAAAUUGAUAGUAAUCCAU